rnacentral:tRNA from 1 species
GGAGAGGUGCCCGAGUGGCUGAAGGGGACGGUUUGCUAAACCGUUAAACGGGGUAAACCCGUUUCAAGGGUUCGAAUCCCUUCCUCUCCG